AACGAACGCUGGCGGCGCGCCUAAUACAUGCAAGUCGAGCGAGAAGGUGUAGCAAUACACUUGUAAAGCGGCGAACGGGUGAGGAAUACAUGGGUAAUCUACCAUCGAGUGGGGAAUAACCAACCGAAAGGUUGGCUAAUACCGCGUACGCCUCCGGGUCUUCGGGUUCGGAGGGAAAGCUGCACUGUGAGUGUAGCGCUCUUUGAUGAGCUCAUGUCCUAUCAGCUUGUUGGUAGGGUAACGGCCUACCAAGGCUUUGACGGGUAGCUGGUCUGAGAGGACGAUCAGCCACACUGGCACUGCGACACGGGCCAGACUCCUACGGGAGGCAGCAGUAAGGAAUAUUGCGCAAUGGGCGAAAGCCUGACGCAGCGACGCCGCGU
rnacentral:rRNA from 1 species